ensembl:snRNA U6 U6 spliceosomal RNA
GUGCUCACUUCUGUAGCACAUAUACUAAAAUUGGAACAAUAUAGAAAAGAUUAGCAUGGCCCCUGUGCAAGGAUGACACAUUUUAAAUUUUA